AAAGGCCCAAACUAAUACGGGAGGCAGCAGUAGGGAAUCUUCCACAAUGGACGAAAGUCUGAUGGAGCAACGCCGCGUGAGUGAAGAAGGGUUUCGGCUCGUAAAACUCUGUUGUUAAAGAAGAACAUAUCUGAGAGUAACUGUUCAGGUAUUGACGGUAUUUAACCAGAAAGCCACGGCUAACUACGUGCCAGCAGCCGCGGUAAUACGUAGGUGGCAAGCGUUGUCCGGAUUUAUUGGGCGUAAAGCGAGCGCAGGCGGUUUUUUAAGUCUGAUGUGAAAGCCUUCGGCUCAACCGAAGAAGUGCAUCGGAAACUGGGAAACUUGAGUGCAGAAGAGGACAGUGGAACUCCAUGUGUAGCGGUGAAAUGCGUAGAUAUAUGGAAGAACACCAGUGGCGAAGGCGGCUGUCUGGUCUGUAACUGACGCUGAGGCUCGAAAGUAUGGGUAGCAAACAGGAUUAGAUACCCUGGUAGUCCAUACCGUAAACGAUGAAUGCUAAGUGUUGGAGGGUUUCCGCCUUUCAGUGCUGCAGCUAACGCAUUAAGCAUUCCGCCUGGGGAGUACGGCCGCAAGGGUGAAACUCAAAGGAAUUGACGGGGGCCCGCACAAGCGGUGGAGCAUGUGGUUUAAUUCGAAGCUACGCGAAGAGCCUUACCAGGUCUUGACAUACUAUGCAAAUCUAAGAGAUUAGACGUUCCCUUCGGGGACAUGGAUACAGGUGGUGCAUGGUUGUCGUCAGCUCGUGUCGUGAGAUGUUGGGUUAAGUCCCGCAACGAGCGCAACCCUUAUUAUCAGUUGCCAGCAUUAAGUUGGGCGCUCUGGUGAGACUGCCGGUGACAAACCGGAGGAAGGUGGGGAUGACGUCAAAUCAUCAUGCCCCUUAUGACCUGGGCUACACACCUG
rnacentral:rRNA from 2 species